rnacentral:lncRNA from 1 species
AUCUUGAUUCAGUGCAUAAGCUUUUCAUUGGCCAAGGUGAGUGCUGAAGUAGUUUUAGCUGCUUUUUUACCCAAGAGGUACCAGGCAGCACCAACUAGCACACAGCCAGCAUUAGGAGGCAGUAGUAGAGCAGUUUGAUGUCUAGUGAGAUAGAUAGAGAGAGAUAUGCCAGGAUAGUAAAUCACGGCAUUUCUGUAUGUCUGACUAUGGAAUAUUCUUCAGAAAUCACUGAGACCAUUUAUUUUAUAUUGGAAUUUCAUCUUGAUCUAAGAUCCAUCAACUUCAGUAGG